rnacentral:rRNA from 1 species
UACGUAGGGUGCAAGCGUUAUCCGGAAUUAUUGGGCGUAAAGAGCUCGUAGGCGGUUUGUCGCGUCUGCUGUGAAAAUCCGGGGCUCAACCCCGGACCUGCAGUGGGUACGGGCAGACUAGAGUGUGGUAGGGGAGACUGGAAUUCCUGGUGUAGCGGUGAAAUGCGCAGAUAUCAGGAGGAACACCGAUGGCGAAGGCAGCUCGCUGGGACGUAACUGACGCUGAGACGCGAAAGCGUGGGGAGCAAACAGG